rnacentral:rRNA from 1 species
GACGAACGCUGGCGGCGUGCCUAAUACAUGCAAGUCGACCUUAGUGGCGAACGGGUGAGUAACACGUGUGUAACCUGCCAAUCAGAAGGGGAUAACAUUUGGAAACAGGCGCUUAUACCGUAUACUGAUGGAUCGACCCGGUGUUCAUUAGCUAGUUGGUGAGGUAACGGCUCACAAAGGCCACGAUGCAUAGCCGACCUGAGAGGGUGAUCGGCCACAUUGGGACUGAGACACGGCCCAAACUCCUACGGGAGGCAGCAGUGGGGAAUCUUCGACAAUGGACGAAAGUCUGACCGAGCAACGCCGCUUGAGUGAAGAAGGUUUUCGGAUCGUAAAACUCUGUUGUUAGGGAAGCAGUAUCUAACCAGAAAGCCACGGCUAACUACGUGCCAGCAGCCGCGGUAAUUC